rnacentral:rRNA from 1 species
UACGAACUGUGCAAACGUUAUUCGGAAUCACUGGGCUUAAAGGGUGCGUAGGCGGCUUAUUUAAGUAGGGUGUGAAAGCCCCCGGCUCAACCGGGGAAUUGCGUCCUAAACUGGAUAGCUCGAGUGAAGAUAGAGGUGUGCGGAACUUCCGGUGGAGCGGUGAAAUGUGUUGAUAUUGGAAAGACCACCAAUGGCGAAGGCACUCUACUGGCCAUUACUGACACUGAGAGACGAAAGCUAGGGGAGCAAAUGGG